UUCAUGGUCAGGAUGCUCUAUGUACCAUAUAUGCAAUACAAAACAACGUUUGCUUUAAAAGUAGGCCGAGGCUAUGUGACAUGGCAAAAAUUACAUAUCGAUAUGCUAUAUCACGUAUUGGGGGACCUGUGAAUUAUGGGCUCAAUCUCACACUUUCAGUUUGCUGAACACCUCCUGGAAGGGUCAAGCUAAUUACAAUUCCCGACAUCAAACAUAGAUGACCUGAGGAGGGAAAUAGCCACCACCAUCAUGACUGGAUCUGAUGACUUGAGUGACUUGUGUCAUUUCUGUGGGGAGGAAGACACCUUUGAUAAAACGGAAAACGUUACUUGGAUUGCGUGUGAUGCCUGUCUGAGGUGGUUUCACACAGGGUGUGUCGGAAAUCCAGCCAUGGAGAUGCCUGUUUAGCAUGCCUGCGUCCAUUAAAUAGGCUGCUAGGGCUGGGCAAGUUGGCGCCCAAUUAAAGGGACUCCUACCUUUGUUGCAUUU